GACAGAGGUGCCGAGCGUUAGGCGGAAUCACUGGGCUUAAAGCGUGUGUAGGCGGGCGGGCAAGUACCUUGUGAAAUCCCACGGCUCAACCGUGGAACUGCGUGGUAUACUGCCUGUCUUGAGCCAGCUAGGGGCGAGCGGAACAGACGGUGGAGCGGUGAAAUGCGUAGAUAUCGUCUGGAACGCCGAAGGUGAAAACAGCUCGCUGGGGCUGUGCUGACGCUGAGACACGAAAGCCAGGGGAGCGAACGGG
rnacentral:rRNA from 1 species